CUGGCCUCAGGUCCUGAGUUGUUAUCGCAAGUCCAGGAAGAAUGAGGUUACUCAGGCAACUGGAGGGUGAGGAUGGAGAAGAGCUUUAUUGAGCAACAGAACAGCUCUCAGCAGAGAGGAGACCCAAAGUGGGUAGCUCCUACCUGCAGGAAGGUAAUCCCAAUGUGUGUCUGAGUCCUGCUGAGUCUAGGGGUUAUUAUAGGUGCAGAAUGGAGGAAGUGCAUGCUGAUUGGUCCAUGAGUGG
rnacentral:lncRNA from 1 species